rnacentral:rRNA from 1 species
UACAGAGGGUGCAAGCGUUGUUCGGAAUCAUUGGGCGUAAAGCGCGUGUAGGCGGUCCGGUAAGUCCGCUGUGAAAGCCGGGGGCUCAACCCUCGGAUGCCGGUGGAUACUGUCGGGCUUGAGUACGGAAGAGGCGAGUGGAAUUCCUGGUGUAGCGGUGAAAUGCGCAGAUAUCAGGAGGAACACCAAUUGCGAAGGCAGCUCGCUGGGACGUUACUGACGCUGAGACGCGAAAGCGUGGGGAGCAAACAGG